GUACCAAAGGCGCUACGAUGGUCGGAUGAAGGUACAAGACCCACCAUUUCGAAGCUAAGAACCAGGGCUACAACAAUGUAGAAGGUCACUCAGUCCAAAUCCCAGCACAAGUAAGUCAUAUAUGCCAAAUACCAAACCAGAACCGUAAUUGCAGGUUUACAAAUUACACUAUGCUGUAAUCAGUACAACUUAGUCUAAACAGGUCCAAAUGCAGAAAUUCCAAAGGCAUAUGGUAUCUAGGACAUCAAGCUACAUUUCAUCAGAAGACCUCAACACCCAAAUCCAAAAAAAUUCCAGUCAAAACAGACGAUUACAAGCGCAGUUCGCACAUUCUGAUCACCCAGAACAGCAACAGUAAAAUUGACAUAUCUCAUUCUACACUACUCCAAUUGCCCUGAAAUUUUACAGGAAUCUCAAACACAUCAAUACCUACAACUUUAAUGUUUUAAGCAAAGGCCAAUUCGGCCUCUAACCAUAUGAUCCAAAACCGGACAGAAAAGGGGGUUAUGAAACCCUAACUUUUCUCAUUUCAAUCCAAACCCAAAAUUGAUUGCAAUUUCCUAUCAUAUACAUCCACUAGAGUCAUAACCCCUCAUUACCAACCAUCAUAAAUAACCACAACACCAUAAUCACAUUAAACCAGAAAAUUCCUCAAAAAAAUAAAAACUUCACCAAAUCACUUCAAAUCAAGAACUAAAUCACACAUUCCAUCACUCAAGUCACCAUUAGGCACAAAAUAAGCAUCAUUAGCUAUAAGAGGAUGUUCAAUCAUCACUUACCUAGUAAACAAGAGAAGAGGAGUUGUAGACCACCUUAGCUCUUCCAAAAACUUCACCAAACUCACCACUAACACUAAAUGGAAAGAUUGUAUGGAGUGGAAACUAGUUUGUGUGAUUGAUUUUGAUGAUUUGAGCUAGUGGAAAGCUUGAAGAGUGAAGAAGUUUUCUUCCUUCUUGGCAAGAGAGAGGGCCGGCUAUGGAGGAGGUAAGAAAUGGUAAUUUUUGUGCAAUUUUUAAGAUAUUUAACCAUUUUGGUCAAAAGUCAAAAACAUGAAUAGUAAAUCAUAAAGUAUAACCAAUAAGAGAGUGACACUUGUCACCUCUUAAAUGCAUUCUUAUCUUUCUUUUUCCUCUCACAUCAAUCAAAUUUCACUCUCUACUUAUCUCUUAACACCCGAUAAAUUUCACACAGUAUCCGAAACUUAACCUUAUUGGCCAAAUUUUUCCGAACUUUUCGCACUAGUGGGUCCCACGUCCGAUAUACGUUCUUAUUUUCUCAAAAUCUAACCGAUACUAGAAAAAUAAUCUAAAAACUAUUUUUGCUCAUAAACUUUAUCUGGGAAAUUUUUCUAAUAAAGAAAAUGAAGAAAAGGCGGGCGAUUAAAUAAAAUAAACCCUAGAAAAUUAGAAAAUUUUCGGGUUCUCAAACUCUUUUUUUUCGGGGCGUCAUAAUCUCCCCUCCUUAAAAGAAUGUCGUCCUCGACAUUCUAUCUUGUACCAAUCAAGUCAAGACAUCCCGCAAAAAUCUCUCAAGAGUCAAAUCAAACCCACAGUCCGGCAUCCUAAACUUCAAGCCUAGGAUACACUACAGAGAUCUGAAGCCUAAGCUCUGAUACCAAUUGUCACGGCCCCACCUCCCCCUAAGGCGAACCAGAGGGUUCGGCGGGCCGCCUGCCCAGCUCUCGCCGGGACUCAGUCGUUCACUACAAUCCUCAAUGGAAUUUCAAGAUAUUUAUAUCAAAUAUACAUCAAAGGUUCCCAAAACUUUACAUAUCAAAAGCGAAGCGUCCACGCUUCCACUGCGCCACUCUGAUCCUUGAUACCAACUAUUAUACAGGAGGAAGUCCAAAACUAGACUAUUACACAUCCAAGCAAUUCUAAACGUUCAAUACAAUCCCAAUAUGAAUGAUUACACAAAAGAAAAUCCAAAUUCAGUCCAUACAUGAGAUAAUCCAUGAAUAAACACUACAAGCCACUCCUUCGCCUUGAGCCCUGUGGAGGGGAAUAAAAUAUUUUGGGGUGAGCUAGAAGCUCAGCGAGUAACCAGUAAAAUCAGUAAUCAAAUCUGUUUAACAAUAGUUCAUUUCAAUGAUGUCAUUUCAAUAUGGAGUAUCAAUAAUUCACGAAACAUUUACAAUGGAAAGCGAUAGUAACAUUCAUGAAAAGGAUACGUUCGUUCUCCUGUCAUUUCAUUGCAUUUGGUUUCAUUCGUGCAUUCAUUCACCCGUCCCUGGCUUUUGGCCAGGCUCCACCAACCUACAAGGUAAUACUCGAGUAUACCGAAACGUUCACCCAAGGUCCUAGUCGCCCGACCGAGUCCGUUUCUGGCUCGAGACGACCGGUAACAAGGGGCAAUGGCCAGUUCAGCCUAAAAGGCUUACAUUCAUGCGCAAGUAGCAUUCAAUUAUUAAUCAUUGAAAAUUUCAUAUUUAUUUAGGUCGAGUGCGAUAAAGUACACACUCGCCUAGAAAACUCGUUUUAACAAUCAUUGAAAGAAAAAUCAAUAAUAACAAGACACUGAUAUGCAAGCACGCAUGAUAUGUAAGAAAACAGUUCCAAAAGUAACUUUGAAAACAGUUCAAAAGUAAAUAAUGCAAGAAACGGUUCAUAAAUAAUUUUAGAAAUAGUUUGAGGUCACUCACCUCCAUGGCUCAGAAAUCAUCCAUUAAAUAUCAUUGCCUUGCUCAAAUCCAAGUCUUAAAUCACAAACUCAAUGCAAACAAGUUCCUUCAAAGUUUGGACAGCACUUCCCCUGAAUUUGCUUACUUUUCCAGCCAUCAUGGCUUCAUUAUAUCCUCAACCAGUCCCAAAGGUACACACACAACAACAAGUUCAUCCAAAGCCAUUCAGAAAGCUCCAAGUAGUACUAGUACAAGUCAAGCUAGGGAAAAGUCCGGAAAUGAAAGUUAAGUUCAAAACCAGAAAAACAGUUUUGACGUCAUUUUGCGGUAAUGGUACCAAAGGCGCUACGAUGGUCGGAUGAAGGUACAAGACCCACCAUUUCGAAGCUAAGAACCAGGGCUACAACAAUGUAGAAGGUCAUUCAGUCCAAAUCCCAGCACAACUAAGUCAUAUAUGCCAAAUACCAAACCAGAACCGUAAUUGCAGGUUUACAAAUUACACUAUGCUGUAAUCAGUACAACUCAGUCUAAACAGGUCCAAAUGCAGAAAUUCCAAAGGAAUAUGGUAUCUAGGACAUCAAGCUACAUUUCAUCAGAAGACCUCAACACCCAAAUCCAAAACAAUUCCAGUCAAAACAGACGAUUACAAGCGCAGUUCGCACAUUCUGAU
rnacentral:lncRNA from 1 species